CAUAGGGCUAUCGCCCUAUGCUAAUGAUUGUCGCACCUUUGGCGCU
rnacentral:sRNA from 1 species